UUAAAAACUAUGAUUAGGAAAAGUAUUUAAGUUUUUUCUUUAAGAGAGUGAUUGGUUGGUGUGAAAUCAUAGAAAUGCUUUAAGAAAAUCACCUAUGAGUUGGAGGCUGAAAGUUUGACAAUUAAGCUAUCCCGUAAUCCUGCGUUAAAGGAUAGGAUAUGAUAGUAUCUGAAGAUAUGGCUCGUUUUAUAUAUAAUGUGAGCUUAAUAACCAUAGGUGGUAUAGCGAAUAACACUUCGUCCUUUUG
rnacentral:ncRNA from 1 species